UACGUAGGGUGCGAGCGUUGUCCGGAAUUAUUGGGCGUAAAGAGCUCGUAGGCGGUCUGUCGCGUCUGCUGUGAAAACUCGGGGCUUAACCCCGGGCCUGCAGUGGGUACGGGCAGACUAGAGUGCGGUAGGGGAGACUGGAAUUCCUGGUGUAGCGGUGAAAUGCGCAGAUAUCAGGAGGAACACCGGUGGCGAAGGCGGUUAGCUGGGCAGUUGCUGACACUGAGGCGCGACAGCGUGGGGAGCAAACAGG
rnacentral:rRNA from 1 species